rnacentral:rRNA from 1 species
GACGAACGCUGGCGGCGUGCCUAAUACAUGCAAGUUGAGCGCUGAAGGUUGGUACUUGUACCAACUGGAUGAGCAGCGAACGGGUGAGUAACGCGUGGGGAAUCUGCCUUUGAGCGGGGGACAACAUUUGGAAACGAAUGCUAAUACCGCAUAAAAACUUUAAACACAAGUUUUAAGUUUGAAAGAUGCAAUUGCAUCACUCAAAGAUGAUCCCGCGUUGUAUUAGCUAGUUGGUGAGGUAAAGGCUCACCAAGGCGAUGAUACAUAGCCGACCUGAGAGGGUGAUCGGCCACAUUGGGACUGGGACACGGCCCAAAAUCCUACGGGAGGCAGCAGUAGGGAAUCUUCGGCAAUGGACGAAAGUCUGAACGAGCAACGCCGCGUGAGUGAAGAAGGGUUUCGGAUCGUAAAAAUCUGUUGGUAGAGAAGAACGUUGGUGAGAGUGGAAAGCUCAUCAAGUGACGGUAACUACCCAGAAAGGGACGGCUAACUACGUG